UACCACCGCCUCCCCCUCCUUUUCCUCUUCUACCACUACAACGCCUCGCUCCUGCCGCACCUGAAGGACGACAGUCUCCGUCUCCGGCUCCGGGUAACGCCGUCCUUUUAGUUUUAUUACUACUUCAUGCUGAGGCUCCUGGUGUAGUAGGGAAGGCUGCUGCCGCCGCCGCUUUAGUUGAUGACGGAGUAGGCGGAGGGGCAGGCUCCGCUGUGUGAGAGGUUCCACUAUCUGAUGAGGUUCUACGUGCGGAGGCCUAGGGUGCUGAACUGGGUGACCCUACGCCUCAAGUAGCGACCAAAGUUGGUGCUCCGGGAGAAGGUAGAGUAGGACCUCCUCAACGGUACGUCACUCUGGGGUACAAGUUACGUUCUCGAGCUUAACCUCCUUUUUCGAAACGUACGAGAACUGUAUCAAGCUACGGUUCUCAAAUGCCCUAUGCUGGGAUUCCAGUUGCGAAUGUGGGCAUGGGCUAAGCUGUAUAAGUUGGAUCGGAAGAAACUGGAACUGUUUCUCAGACUAAAAACAGCACCAGGCGCCGAAUUGUACUAUGGAAGUGGUUAUGCACUGAGCUAGCAUCCUAGUACACAUUUACAGUAAUGGAACUUCCAUUUCCUUAGCCUUCAACCGAAGGGCUAUUUUCAAAAACCAUGGCAACAUCGUUCUCUGGUCCAGCUGAUAUCUACACAAAUAGAGAAGUCCGCACUUUCCCCACUAGGGGUUGAGUAGUGGAGCCGCCUGCCGUUCAAUUGAAACUACCUAGGUACGGCUCCCGAACAGGGUCUCCUGUCUUAUAUAAAACUCUACCUAAAUUUCUAUCAUGCACUACCUCCACUCCAACUUCUAAAGUCGUUUCCACACUAGCAAAAGUUGUCCCGGGCGGAGGGAUUACUAUUCGUCUGGUACCCACCUGGCACAUCACAGAGUUCUCAAUAGCGGCGAUGAUGGUUCUUAAUACUCAUAUCAUACCUAGAAAUGUUGCCACCACUUCGUCGUCGUCUCGUCUCAGAUAGCAGCCCAAGGUCGUGUUUAGCGGCGGGCCGUCAAGGUCGUACCCGCGGACGGCCGAACGUUGAAGAGGCGAGCAGGCAAGGUCGUGCCGACCAACCACUAGGGUCGUGCCGGCGUGCCGCUUCGAUGCUCGCUACCCUGCGAGGAGGGCUAACAUGCUGCUACCUCGCGUUUCUACGACGAUGUCUCGGAGAAGCAGCAGCUGCUGGCGCCGAGGCCUUCGUCGGCCUACCGGCCGAGCAGUCGAGUAGGUAUCCGCUGACACCACGGGCGACCUACGCGAGCUACCACCUCGAGCGUCCUUCGGUCCUUCCGCGCCAGGAGCCACCGAAGUGGCCGCAGCCACACUCCUCUCGUUUAUCGCCGCCGCCGAUACACGGGCGCGACCCUUCUUCCCUAAUC
rnacentral:rRNA from 1 species